GAUUAUCACCAUUCCAGAUUGAAUAUACCCGAUCUCGUCUGAUCUCAGAAGUCAAGCAAUCUCGGGCUUGG
rnacentral:rRNA from 1 species